rnacentral:rRNA from 1 species
UACGAAGGGGGCUAGCGUUGCUCGGAAUCACUGGGCGUAAAGCGCACGUAGGCGGCUUUUUAAGUCAGGGGUGAAAUCCUGGAGCUCAACUCCAGAACUGCCUUUGAUACUGAGAAGCUUGAGUCCGGGAGAGGUGAGUGGAACUGCGAGUGUAGAGGUGAAAUUCGUAGAUAUUCGCAAGAACACCAGUGGCGAAGGCGGCUCACUGGCCCGAUACUGACGCUGAGGCACGAAAGCGUGGGGAG